rnacentral:rRNA from 1 species
AUACAUGCAAGUCGAGCGAGCGGAACCAACAGAUUUACUUCGGUAAUGACGUUGGGAAAGCGAGCGGCGGAUGGGUGAGUAACACGUGGGGAACCUGCCCCUAAGUCUGGGAUACCAUUUGGAAACAGGUGCUAAUACCGGAUAAUAAAGCAGAUCGCAUGAUCAGCUUUUGAAAGGCGGCGUAAGCUGUCGCUAAGGGAUGGCCCCGCGGUGCAUUAGCUAGUUGGUAAGGUAACGGCUUACCAAGGCGACGAUGCAUAGCCGAGUUGAGAGACUGAUCGGCCACAUUGGGACUGAGACACGGCCCAAACUCCUACGGGAGGCAGCAGUAGGGAAUCUUCCACAAUGGACGCAAGUCUGAUGGAGCAACGCCGCGUGAGUGAAGAAGGUUUUCGGAUCGUAAAGCUCUGUUGNUGGUGAAGAAGGAUAGAGGUAGUAACUGGCCUUUAUUUGACGGUAAUCAACCAGAAAGUCACGGCUAACUAC